rnacentral:rRNA from 1 species
GUAACUGACGCUGAGGCGCGAAAGCGUGGGGAGCAAACAGGAUUAGAUACCUUGGUAGUCCACGCCGUAAACGAUGAGUGCUAAGUGUUAGGGGGUUUCCGCCCCUUAGUGCUGCAGCUAACGCAUUAAGCACUCCGCCUGGGGAGUACGGCCGCAAGGCUGAAACUCAAAGGAAUUGACGGGGGCCCGCACAAGCGGUGGAGCAUGUGGUUUAAUUCGAAGCAACGCGAAGAACCUUACCAGGUCUUGACAUCCCGCUGCCCGCCUUAGAGAUAAGGCUUUCCCUUCGGGGACAGCGGUGACAGGUGGUGCAUGGUUGUCGUCAGCUCGUGUCGUGAGAUGUUGGGUUAAGUCCCGCAACGAGCGCAACCCUUGAUCUUAGUUGCCAGCAUUCAGUUGGGCACUCUAAGGUGACUGCCGGUGACAAACCGGAGGAAGGUGGGGAUGACGUCAAAUCAUCAUGCCCCUUAUGACCUGGGCUACACACGUGCUACAAUGGACGGUACAAAGGGCAGCCAACCCGCGAGGGGGAGCCAAUCCCAGAAAACCGUUCUCAGUUCGGAUUGCAGGCUGCAACUCGCCUGCAUGAAGCCGGAAUCGCUAGUAAUCGUGGAUCAGCAUGCCACGGUGAAUACGUUCCCGGGCCUUGUACACACCGCCCGUCACACCACGAGAGUUUGUAACACCCGAAGUCGGUGAGGUAACCCUUGUGGAGCCAGCCGCCGAAGGUGGGACAGAUGAUUGGGGUGAAGUCG